rnacentral:rRNA from 1 species
UAACCUGCCCAUGUGUCCGGGAUAACUGCUGGAAACGGUAGCUAAAACCGGAUAGGUAUACAGAGCGCAUGCUCAGUAUAUUAAAGCGCCCAUCAAGGCGUGAACAUGGAUGGACCUGCGGCGCAUUAGCUAGUUGGUGAGGUAACGGCUCACCAAGGCGAUGAUGCGUAGCCGGCCUGAGAGGGUAAACGGCCACAUUGGGACUGAGACACGGCCCAA